rnacentral:piRNA from 1 species
UAUGUAUUUAUGUACUUAAGGGCUUAGC